GCCUUCGUGGUGUAGUGGUCAGCACGUUUGGCAGGUAAUCGAAAAAAGGUCCAUGGUUCAAUUCCCGGCAAAGGUG
rnacentral:tRNA from 1 species